AUUACAGGGUAUUUUGUUGAAAUUGGACAAAUUAGAGGGUGCAAAAACACCAACCAGUACUUUCUCGGAAAUCUCCUAAAUUGAAAUGAAAAUUAGGUCAAAACCUCAGGAGAAUGAUAAGCAAUCGUUCUGUCUGUAUCAGAAAGCACCACUCUCUCUCUCUCGUAAAACCCCCAACCCCUAACUCUUCCACUGAAAAUUAGACCAAAUUCAGAAGUGAUGUCUGACUAUUUUCCAAAGGAUAUCAUGCAGGAAAUCCUCCAGAGGUUGCCCACCAAGUGUUUGAUCAAAUGCACCUUAGUGUGCAAGCCAUGGAGGUCUCUGAUUCAAAGCCCUAGCUUCAUUCACAGCCACCUCCGCCGCACAAUCCAUUCCAACAACCAGAACGCAGCCGUUGGCCUCCUUCUGCUGAGGGCUUUCGCCGGCAACGAAAACAGUGCGCUUUACUCGUUGCAUUGGGAUAACUCUGAAACCGGUGAGCAUUCCAAGCUUGUAAAUCCUUACCCUUACAUUAAAGAAGCUAUUUUCUCCCCAAGUGAAAGAGUUGUAGUUCGGGACUUCCAUGUGGUAGGAGCUUGUAAUGGGCUCGUAUGCCUUGCUGUUGACUUUGCCUAUGUUGGUUCCCAAACAAUCAUUUGGAACCCUUCUGUUAGAAAGUUCGUAACUUUGCCUGGGCGUAGUGUUUCAGUGAGCAAGACUGGUAAGCGUAGAGCAAGCUAUGCUUUUGGGUAUGAUUCGCAUACCAAUGACUAUAAAGUUUUGAGAAGUAUGAGUAAUAGGUACGGGAAAACCCCAUGUGAGGUUGAGAUUUGGUCGUUACUCAGGGGCUCCUGGAAGAGUCUUAGUGCUGCUGUUGUUCCAGAAGAUUUCAUGUUUGGAGUUUAUAAUAAUCGUAAUGUUGUUCCUUCGAAUUAUGGGUCUGUAGAUAAACAUGCUUUUGUCAAUGGUGCUCUUCACUGGGUUCAACGCCGUACUGUAGGGGAGGACAAAUUCAUUUUGUGGUUUCAUAUGGGCAGUGAAUUAUUUGGAGAGAUAAUGAUGCCUGAAGGUUUGACAAGAGAGCGUUGCUUUGUUUUAAGGUACGAGGAGUCCCUUGCCUUGUUAAAGAGUGAAGAACUACAGGGAAAUUGUUCUAAAUUCGACAUUUGGGUGAUGAAAGAGCAUGGUGUGGUGGAAUCAUGGACUAAAUUAUUUACCGUAAACCUGCACCGCCAUAUGUUGGAGCCAUUUUGUUUUACAAGGAGCGGUGAACUAGUGUUCAAAAUAUGUGUGUUUGGUCGACGGCUGCUAAAGGUGGAUCUUAAGACUGAAGAAUUUAAAUAUUUUGGAAUUGAUGGAUAUAUGUGCCACUUCAUGGAUUCUUUUGUGGAAAGCCUUGUCUUACUUGGCCAAGCCAAUGCUAUUUCUUACUGAGGAGCCAGCAAGAAGUAAGAACAGUAAGUCUAUUAGUUCAACACAUGAGCUCUGAAAAAAUGGAUCCUCUUCUACUACUACUAAAAUCCAUAGGAGUCCCAUUUACAGUUGUCCAAUGACGCUAUGUUCUUCUCCACGGCGCAUGAGAACAUGUUUGAUAGGUGCUGGAAACUAUUUGUAAAGAAGGGGAGGGCCGACGACAAUUGAAAGAGAUGCAAAGCUCCUUGCUCUGCAAUCUGGGGGAAUAUUUCCUUAGUGGAAGAACCUUCCCCCCGCUGGUCAAAUGAACAAACAGUUCUUUGCAGCAGAAAGCAGAAGAGUAUUGAACGGAUGUCUUUGCGAAACGAGAACUUAUUUACCACUUUUUUAUGCACGGUUGUUCAAUCCUUCAAAGUGGCAUUUCAAUUCGUAAAAAGAAUUGUUUGCUAUUUUCUUCAUUAAAAUUUUUAGCAAAAAUGUGCUGGUUUGUAAGUUGUCCCGCGAUGGCGUCUGUUGCUCUCAGAUCCAUCCAAUUUGUAGUAAUAUAUCUGUUUCAGAAUGCAAUAUGUGUUAAGCCAAAAGCGACAGAUGCAGAUUGAAAGUUUGAUCUUACAAAUCGAUUUAUUAUUAUUUUGACAGCAUUAUAGAGACUGAAAGAACGGCAAGAUAUUACCCCAUAAGCUAUAAAAAAAGGUGCAGGAUUUUAA